UACGUAGGGUGCAAGCGUUGUCCGGAAUUAUUGGGCGUAAAGAGCUCGUAGGCGGUUUGUCGCGUCUGCUGUGAAAACUCGGGGCUUAACUCCGGGCCUGCAGUGGGUACGGGCAGACUAGAGUGCGGUAGGGGAGACUGGAAUUCCUGGUGCAGCGGUGAAAUGCGCAGAUAUCAGGAGGAACACCGGUGGCGAAGGCGGGUCUCUGGGCCGUAACUGACGCUGAGGAGCGAAAGCGUGGGGAGCGAACAGG
rnacentral:rRNA from 1 species